rnacentral:rRNA from 1 species
AUUCGAUUCAGGCCUAACACAUGCAAGUCGCACGGUCAGCAAUGGCAGUGGCGGACGGGUGAGUAACACGUAGGAAUCUAUCCUGGGGUGGGGGACAACAGCGGGAAACUGCUGCUAAUACCGCAUGAUACCUGAGGGUCAAAGGCGCAAGUCGCCUUGGGAGGAGCCUGCGUCUGAUUAGCUUGUUGGUGGGGUAAAGGCCUACCAAGGCGACGAUCAGUAGCUGGUCUGAGAGGAUGAUCAGCCACAUUGGGACUGAGACACGGCCCAAACUCCUACGGGAGGCAGCAGUGGGGAAUAUUGGACAAUGGGGGCAACCCUGAUCCAGCAAUGCCGCGUGUGUGAAGAAGGUCUUCGGAUUGUAAAGCACUUUUGGCAGGGACGAUGAUGACGGUACCUGCAGAAUAAGCCCCGGCUAACUUCGUGCCAGCAGCCGCGGUAAUACGAAGGGGGCUAGCGUUGCUCGGAAUGACUGGGCGUAAAGGGCGCGUAGGCGGCGCGUACAGUCAGAAGUGAAAUUCCUGGGCUCAACCUGGGGACUGCUUUUGAUACGUGCGUGCUUGAGUGAGGAAGAGGGUUGUGGAAUUUCCAGUGUAGAGGUGAAAUUCGUAGAUACUGGAAAGAACACCGGUGGCGAAGGCGGCAACCUGGUCCUUUACUGACGCUGAGGCGCGAAAGCGUGGGAGCAAACAGGAUUAGAUACCCUGGUAGUCCACGCUGUAAACGAUGUGUGCUGGGUGUUGGGAAACUUAGUCUUUCAGUGUCGUAGCUAACGCGAUAAGCACACCGCCUGGGGAGUACGGCCGCAAGGUUGAAACUCAAAGGAAUUGACGGGGGCCCGCACAAGCGGUGGAGCAUGUG